GCAAAAGCUCACACUCAGUCCCAGGAUUAAGUUACUAAUCACUUGAUGUUGUCUUAAUUGAAAGGCAGAUUACCCAGACUAGUCCCUUCUGCCUUCUGGGCAGGUCACAUCUGAAAGAUUAUCCUCUUUGAAUCAGUUUGAAUGUUCUAGUGACCAGGCCACACAGUUUCUCUUGACAUUUAAAAAUAAAGCUUCCAGUCUUGUCACUAAUGGAUUUGGGGUCCAGUACCCUUAAAAUCACCUCAGAGCUGCCUGAAUCCAUAGACUACUUGCAGAAUCACUGGUUUUACUUGGAUCAAGCCAUCUGAGAAGUUUGGCUGAAAUAAAAACUCAAAGCCCCCACAAUAUUGAACCACCAUUCCAGACCCAGCCAAGGUUUGGAACAUAAAGUGAGCUGAAUGAAUCAGCCUGCAGGCAACCCAGAGAAAGUAAUUGUUCAUCCUAGCAGCACGGCUGCUUUUCUGCUUAGCAUCUGAACAAGUUAAUUUGGAAACACAGCCUUCUGGAAAGAAAUGGCGCUUCUCUCAGCAUCCCAUGGAUUCAUGAGCAGCUCCUUGAAUGCAAAUAUUGCCUGAUAUUUUCAUGUGGUCUCCAGACACAGGAGAAGAGCGACGGCGAAGAAAGGAAGGAAGGAAGAAAGAAA
rnacentral:lncRNA from 1 species